GGAUCCAGACUUUGAUUCUGGCUCAGGAUGAACGCUAGCGGCAGGCUUAACACAUGCAAGUCGAGGGGUAACAUUGGUGCUUGCAUCAGAUGACGACCGGCGCACGGGUGAGUAACGCGUAUGUAACCUACCUAUCACAGGGGGAUAGCCCGGAGAAAUUCGGAUUAAUACCGCAUAGUCUUGAGAUAUUGCAUGAUAUUUCAAAUAAAACUUUGGUGGUGAUAGAUGGACAUGCGUAUGAUUAGUUAGUUGGUGAGGUAACGGCUCACCAAGGCGACGAUCAUUAGGGGUUCUGAGAGGAAGGUCCCCCACACUGGUACUGAGACACGGACCAGACUCCUACGGGAGGCAGCAGUGAGGAAUAUUGGUCAAUGGACGAAAGUCUGAACCAGCCAUGCCGCGUGCAAGAUGACUGCCCUAUGGGUUGUAAACUGCUUUUCUGAAGGAAGAAAUGUACCUACGUGUAGGUAUUUGCCGGUACUUCAGGAAUAAGGAUCGGCUAACUCCGUGCCAGCAGCCGCGGUAAU
rnacentral:rRNA from 1 species